UACGGAGGGGGCUAGCGUUGUUCGGAAUUACUGGGCGUAAAGCGCGCGUAGGCGGCUUAGCAAGUUAGAGGUGAAAGCCCGAAGCUCAACUUCGGAAUUGCCUUUAAAACUGCAAAGCUAGAAUCAUGGAGAGGUGAGUGGAAUUCCGAGUGUAGAGGUAGAAAUUCGUAGAUAUUCGGAAGAACACCAGUGGCGAAGGCGACUCACUGGACAUGUAUUGACGCUGAGGUGCGAAAGCGUGGGGAGCAAACAGG
rnacentral:rRNA from 1 species